GGGGAUGUUACGGAUUCGACGGGGGCAUUUGAACUUGAUAAGCAGGUCGUGCUUAACAUCACGUUAAACUGUAGAGGUUUAAAUAACCGGAAAAAAUAAUUUACAAUUCGCAGCUUAAUUAAAUAAGCUCGGCUCCAUUCGACUAUUGCCCAUGUAGUUGUCUAGGGGCUCAUUGAUAGUGGGCUACGCUAACAUCCGCCUCCUUAGGAUGUUAGAAGAAGAUGAAUAAGGAUCGCUAGCAAAUAGCCUGUCUAUCGGCAGUUUGUUCGUUAAAUUUUAAAGAUAGUCUAAACCUGUAGAAAGUCAAGUGUUCGGUGUUUUCGGACGCGGGUUCGACUCCCGCCAUCUCCACCA
rnacentral:tmRNA from 1 species